AGACCACGGUCCUGAGAAAUCCAGGAAGGGCUGGUAGGAGGUGGGGCGCGAACAGCACUGGCUGCAGCCUGUGCCAGACCAGCCAGGCGCCCUGUUUACAGUGCUGGUCACACUGGGGCAACCAGAACCAGGGCCUGCUGAAUUCUUCACCUCCUAGGUAACUGAACGGAGCCAGGAGGAGCCGAUCCGGUCCCCUUGGCCUUCGUGCCAGCUGGCCUCUCCCGACGUUAAUAAUUCAGGCCUCUCCAGCCAGUGGGCCCAGGGCCUGCGUCAGAGCUGUGAACUGUGGUUUCUGUUUCCCUGGCUGCCUCCCCGCACUCUGAGCUUAUCUAGGCCGACAGUGCUGCCAACGAGACGACCCUCCUCAGCCACCCACCAGCGGGGACACCCUGCCUGACCUUCAGCCUGCCCCAUCCUGUUUCCCACGCCCACAGGGAGGGCGGGUAUCCCCCAGCUCCUCUGGUUACUGUUCUCUGGCAGCCGCCCAAUCCCUGCCCUGGGCUGCUGGAUUCACACCUCACCGGGCACAGUUCAAGGAAGGGAAGCUCUCAUUGCCCUCCCUCCUCCAUGCCCUUCUCAUGCUUCGCUUGCAAUCCUGUGCCCCAGGUGCCUCUACUCCCAGACCUGGACUCACUGGUAAGUGGGGACCAGCAUGGCAGAGAGCAGAAUACAGCUGCUCCUCUUGCUCCAGACCCCGAACUCCGUUCACGAUUGUCGGAAAGCUCCAGACCACUAACAUGAUGGUGGAAAAGUGGAACCACAUUCCUGUUUGAUUUCUGACAGCUUUUCCUGCCUGCCUUGUCCUUCCUCACCAAGAUGAUUGGCUGCUGUGUUGUCCCACUUUAUUUUCAAGAGCCCCCAGCCUUCCUGAGCCACCUUCUCUUUGGAGGGAGAUCUGUAUUUACCAAACGUCUGUGUAUUUAUUGAAUAUCUGAUUUAUUUUAUUGUAUAUUGAAUAUUUUUAUAUUUAUUUUAAAUGAUUAAAUAUCUGUAUUGUUGUGCCCUAAUUUACUCUUCACAAUACCCUAGGAGGUAGGUAUGAUACCCCUUGCACAGAUAAGAAAACUGUCUCAGAGAUCGUUGAAGCUAUAAGUGGCAGAACCAGAGUUGAAAUCCAAGGCUGCCUCAUUCUAAAGUCCCCACUCUUUCCAUUCAGACAUGGGAUCGUGCCUAUUGCUAUUUAUCUUUUUCCUGACCUUUUUUGAAAUCAUCCUUCCUAAAGUCUAGUGUGUACUGACUAUAAACAUUUCACAUGUUUUUACCUAGAUAUUACAUGUGAGCUCACUCCUCCUUCUCAGCCAGAAUUUAGUUUCAAGCAACAAUUCCCUUGAUGCUCCCAACAUCUAAGAGGGCAUUGAGACCCCAAACACAGAUAUCCAGUCCCUGGAGCAAGUCCAUCCAGACAAGUGAGCUUUGCCUCCCAAGACAACCCGGAUGACUGUCAUUGGAAACCAGCUUUAGCCAAGUGCACAAUCAGAGCUGAAGGUGUCACAGAAACUGAGCACACAGAAUCCACAGAAAAACAAUGAGAUUUCUUUUAACAGUGAGUUUUCAUCUAAAUUGUGCCCAAAAAAUGUUGGUUUUUCUGGUGCAGUUGACAAUCUUCCAGAGCAACUCAAUUCAAGAUCAAUGUGUGUGCAGUAAGAAUUUGGCUCCUAAGACUAGAAUUCUAGCAAGUGAAAUAGAGCUGUGAUGGCCAGUUUUCUUUUUUUUUUUUUUUUUUUUUUUUGAGGCAGAGUCUCGCUCUGUCACCCGGGCUGGAGUACAGUGGCC
rnacentral:lncRNA from 1 species